UACGUAGGGCGCAAGCGUUGUCCGGAAUUAUUGGGCGUAAAGAGCUCGUAGGCGGCUUGUCACGUCGAUUGUGAAAGCCCGAGGCUUAACCUCGGGUCUGCAGUCGAUACGGGCUAGCUAGAGUGUGGUAGGGGAGAUCGGAAUUCCUGGUGUAGCGGUGAAAUGCGCAGAUAUCAGGAGGAACACCGGUGGCGAAGGCGGAUCUCUGGGCCAUUACUGACGCUGAGGCGCGACAGCGUGGAGAGCAAACAGG
rnacentral:rRNA from 1 species